rnacentral:rRNA from 1 species
AUUGAACGCUGGCGGAAUGCUUUACACAUGCAAGUCGAACGGUAGAGGGGCAACCCUUGAGAGUGGCGAACGGGUGAGUAAUGUAUCGGAACAUGCCCAGUCGUGGGGGAUAACGUAGCGAAAGUUACGCUAAUACCGCAUACGAUCUAUGGAUGAAAGCGGGGGAUCGCAAGACCCCGCGCGAUUGGAGUGGCCGAUAUCAGAUUAGGUAGUUGGUGGGGUAAAGGCCUACCAAGCCGACGCUCUGUAGCUGGUAUGAGAGGACGACCAGCCACAGUGGGACUGGGACACGGCCCAGACUCCUGCGGGAAGCAGCAGUGGGGAAUUUUGGACAAUGGGCGAAAGCCUGAUCCAGCCAUUCCGCGUGCAGGAAGAAGGCCUUCGGGUUGUAAACUGCUUUUGUACGGAACGAAACGCGCUGUGCUAAUACCACGGCGUAAUGACGGUACCGUAAGAAUAAGCACCGGCUAACUACGUGCCAGCCGCCGCAGUAAUAC